rnacentral:rRNA from 1 species
UACGUAGGGACCGAGCGUUGCCGGAAUCAUUGGGCGUAAAGAGCGUGUAGGCGGCCUUUUAAGUCCUGCGUGAAAUCCUGCGGCUCAACCGCAGACGGUCGUGGGAAACUGGAAGGCUAGAGUGCGGGAGAGGAGAGUGGAAUUCCCGGUGUAGCGGUGAAAUGCGCAGAUAUCAGGAAGAACACCCGUGGCGAAAGCGGCUCUCUGGAACGGUACUGACGCUGAGACGCGAAAGCGUGGGGAGCGAACAGG